ensembl:lncRNA
CAGCUGAGUUUCACACCACCCUGUCAGUAGAGCUCAUCCCAAGGAACCUCACAGACAAAGCUCUUCUAAGAGGAUUUCGCAAUGCUUUUCUCAACAUGGGAUUAAGACCCAAGGCCCAACUAUGGCACAGAAAUGGCACCCUAAAAGGUUCUCUGUUAUUCUCACAAUAUUUUCACUGAACUCUACAGAAUUUGAUAGUGUGGAACUCACGACCAUCUUGUGGCUGGGGUCCUGCCGUCAGCCUAAGAUAAUUCUUCUGUUUUCUAAUUAUAUAUUAAUGCUUUUAAAAUCUUAACAAUAAAACUUAUAAUUUAGUAGCA